CAAAGUUGUUUUUAUUUUUUGUUUGCUUGACAGGUCAUUUUUUGUUUGUCGAAGUCUCAUCAGGACGACUAUUUUCUGAUACAGAAUUUUUAAAUUAAUUAAAUUUUAAUGUGCUUUUUUACUGGUCUCUAUCAAACUGGACCAAAACAGAAUGGGAGCGACGGGUGAAGGAGCAUAAUGGGAGACAUACGCAUCGCUUUGAACUGCCUUCCCUACCAAGUUUUUAUCUUGACAGACAUACUAGAUGGCAGUCCUUUGGUACGGCAGCAGAAAUUCUACUCAAGUCGGCAUGAUGAGGCUAGAACUUUUGGACCGAAUCGGAGGCAAUGGGGAGCUGUCACCUCACUCAUUUUCGCAUGGCGGAUGCCACCUGCACCUGAUAUCUACUCCAGCUCCGGGAACCAUCAACACAAACCAACCACCUACCCCCCAACCCCAACACAGUAGCCAACCCCAUACGCCGGAAUUUCGUAUGCGUUGAGUCAAACCGAUAUGUCUACAAAUCGUCACUUGUGGGUCGACACAAACUCUGCCAGCAACAACAUCGUACAAGCUACAACAAGUUUGAGUCGGUCAAUAGCUCAUCCGAGGUACAGAAACGUUGUCUCCCGGUUGAUUUCGGGUCCGACCCCGACCCCUUUGGUUCCGAUGGGUGUGCCUACGCCUUUAAUAUAUGUAGUGUUAUGUCAACUAAAAACAACUAUCGUGGUGAUAUUAAAUACAUGUUGACUA